rnacentral:rRNA from 1 species
GACGGGGCCCGCACAAGCAGCGGAGCAUGUGGCUUAAUUCGACGCAACGCGAAGAACCUUACCAGGGCUUGACAUGCAGGGAAAAGCGGCGGAAACGUCGUGUCCGAAAGGGCCCUGCACAGGUGGUGCAUGGCUGUCGUCAGCUCGUGUCGUGAGAUGUUGGGUUAAGUCCCGCAACGAGCGCAACCCUCGUCCUAUGUUGCCAGCGGGUCAUGCCGGGGACUCAUGGGAGACUGCCGGGGUCAACUCGGAGGAAGGUGGGGAUGACGUCAAAUCAUCAUGCCCCUUAUGUCUUGGGCUUCACGCAUGCUACAAUGGCCGGUACAAAGGGCUGCGAUACCGCGAGGUGGAGCGAAUCCCAGAAAGCCGGUCUCAGUUCGGAUUGGGGUCUGCAACUCGACCCCAUGAAGUCGGAGUCGCUAGUAAUCGCAGAUCAGCAACGCUGCGGUGAAUACGUUCCCGGGCCUU